UCUUUGUCAAACAUUCAUCAAGAGACUCAUUUGAAAAACUGUGAGUCAGGGCUCUGGCAAUGUUUAGAAGGGUGUUAGAGCUAGCAAUCUUUGCAUGCCUAUACUAGCUGCUAGUGAAUGUUUGCUGACUUCUUGUUUAUUUGCUUUUUUACAAUCACAUUGCAGCCACUGUGAGUGUACUCUGCUAGAGAGAUCCCAUGUUAUCCCUCAGGUUUCCCAACAAAAAUUCAAUUUUCUGCUCUUUCAAGACACACCAAAAACAAACCGUGCCCAAGCAACUGCCUCUUGAUAAGGAUGGUUCUGGGGUGCCUGUCCUGAGCCUUUCAUAGUUAUGUAGAAUGGGAAAUAAUAAUAAUUAAAAAAAUCAGCAGAUGCAGCUCAGAGACAUAAAAACAAGGAAACCCUGCUUUAAAAGAAAGAAGAAAAGAAACAAGGCGGCUGCAUUGGCAGUUUCCCGACCUCAGAGUUCCCCAGAGGAUCUCAAAGUGCUGACUGGGACCGUGAACUGAUUGAACAAAACCUUCCCAGAUCUUCAUCUGAAGGUGAUGCAGCAUUCCUUGAAAGGGGAGUUCCUGGACCACAUCUGGUGCUUGCAGGAUAUACAGACUCUCGGUGGAGGGGAACAGCCGCCGCCUCCCACGUGGAGCGCCCGAGUGACCAGUUGACCGAAGUGGGAGGUGAGGUGGGCAGCAUGAACCGGACUCUGUCCUACGGCCUGGGCACACACCACACCUGUAUCCAGGACCUGCAGGUCUUGAUCAGCAAUGCCACCGAGGAUGUGCGGCAGAUGCACCUGGUCCACAUUGCCAUAGAGCACCAGCUGAAGCAUGAGUUGGCCAUCUUAACCAAUAUCACCGAAAACCUGAUGCUCAAAGACUGGGAGCACUGUGUCACCUUGAGUAAUAGGAGGUACGGGGAUGCAGUGAAACUCUAGGGCAGUGAUUCCCAAACUUUGCUCCUCCAGAUGUUUUGAACUUCAGCUCCCAACAUUCCUGACUUCUGGCCAAGUAGGUUGAGGCUUCUGGGAGUUGAAGUCCAAAACAUCAGGAGGAUUAAGUUUUGGGGAUCAUUGCUGUAGAGUCAUCACCAUACAGGUUGAGUUUCCCUUAUCUGAUAUGCUUGGGACCAGAAGUGUUUUGAGUUUUGGAUCCCCCCCCACAAGUGUUUGGAAUAUCUUUAUAUACUUUAGCUGCCUUGAGUCCCUAUAUCAGGGGAAUGGUGGGGUAUAAAUAAGUAAAAUACAAAUAAUAAU